rnacentral:rRNA from 1 species
UACGGAGGAUCCAAGCGUUAUCCGGAAUCAUUGGGUUUAAAGGGUCCGUAGGCGGUUUAAUAAGUCAGUGGUGAAAGCCCAUCGCUCAACGGUGGAACGGCCAUUGAUACUGUUAAACUGAAUUAUUAGGAAGUAACUAGAAUAUGUAGUGUAGCGGUGAAAUGCUUAGAGAUUACAUGGAAUACCAAUUGCGAAGGCAGGUUACUACUAAUGAUGACGCUGAUGGACGAAAGCGUGGGUAGCGAACAG